rnacentral:rRNA from 1 species
AGGGGUUCUGAGAGGAAGGUCCCCCACAUUGGAACUGAGACACGGUCCAAACUCCUACGGGAGGCAGCAGUGAGGAAUAUUGGUCAAUGGGGGAGAGCCUGAACCAGCCAAGUAGCGUGAAGGAUGACUGCCCUAUGGGUUGUAAACUUCUUUUAUAAAGGAAUAAAGUCGGGUAUGGAUACCCGUUUGCAUGUACUUUAUGAAUAAGGAUCGGCUAACUCCGUGCCAGCAGCCGCGGUAAUACGGAGGAUCCGAGCGUUAUCCGGAUUUAUUGGGUUUAAAGGGAGCGUAGAUGGAUGUUUAAGUCAGUUGUGAAAGUUUGCGGCUCAGCCGUAAAAUUGCAGUUGAUACUGGAUAUCUUGAGUGCAGUUGAGGCAGGCGGAAUUCGUGGUGUAGCGGUGAAAUGCUUAGAUAUCACGAAGAACUCCGAUUGCGAAGGCAGCCUGCUAAGCUGCAACUGACAUUGAGGCUCGAAAGUGUGGGUAUCAAACAGGAUUAGAUACCCUGGUAGUCCACACGGUAAACGAUGAAUACUCGCUGUUUGCGAUAUACUGCAAGCGGCCAAGCGAAAGCGUUAAGUAUUCCACCUGGGGAGUA